rnacentral:rRNA from 1 species
UACGUAGGAUGCGAGAGUUAUCCGGAAUUACUGGGUGUAAAGGGAGCGUAGACGGCAGCGCAAGUCUGGAGUGAAAUGCCGGGGCCCAACCCCGGAACUGCUCUGGAAACUGUGAAGCUGGAGUGCAGGAGAGGUAAGCGGAAUUCCUGGUGUAGCGGUGAAAUGCGUAGAUAUUAGGAGGAACACCAGUGGCGAAGGCGGUCUGCUGGACAGUAACUGACGGUGAGGCGCGAAAGCGUGGGGAGCAAACAGG